UCCCAGCUGACUGAGGAAGUGGCUCAACUGCAGCAAGGAGGAAUCAGUAUUCACCAAAUACUUUGGCGCAGGGACUGCUGCAGAGAUGUGGAACCAGACAAGGCUUGGUCAGAUUCACCAUUCUGCCCAGGGUUACAUAUUAUCUUGGACAGACCUACACGCCUCUGACUCCAGGUCAUCAGACAAAUCCUCUUCUGCAGAACUGAGAAGAUCAAAUUGUAUAAUCACAAGUCAUAACAGAAGGCUGGAAGAUACAGGAGAAAUCAGAGUGACACACCUAAGAUCUGAGUUCAUCAUUCAAGCUUUCCUUCUCGGUUUGUCUGUCUGCUGCACCCAUGACAGAGGACACAAAGGAACUAAUGAAGGAGACGACUGUUUUGCCCAGUCAGGCACAAUAGAAUUUCACUAUGGAAGUUUCAUUAGACAGUUACAGGCUGAGACCUAAAACUGCAUAGUGGAUGUAGGGGUUACACAUCUGCCUUCUGCGUGGAACACAUUUCAUGCCGUUGAAUUAGCAAUGAAAUAAAUGUCAGCAUCUGAGCUGAAGAAAGCCUAUUCUCUCUUUAUUGUAUCAUACAGACAGCUGCUCAGAGAACUCCUUCAGCAAUUGUUUUUGGCUUUCAUUGUCAUCCUUAAGAAAGUUCAGCAUAAAACACAAUAAAAAUCAGAU